rnacentral:rRNA from 1 species
ACUCCUACGGGAGGCAGCAGUGGGGAAUAUUGCACAAUGGGCGCAAGCCUGAUGCAGCCAUGCCGCGUGUAUGAAGAAGGCCUUCGGGUUGUAAAGUACUUUCAGCGGGGAGGAAGGCGAUAAGGUUAAUAACCUUGUUGAUUGACGUUACCCGCAGAAGAAGCACCGGCUAACUCCGUGCCAGCAGCCGCGGUAAUACGGAGGGUGCAAGCGUUAAUCGGAAUUACUGGGCGUAAAGCGCACGCAGGCGGUCUGUCAAGUCGGAUGUGAAAUCCCCGGGCUCAACCUGGGAACUGCAUUCGAAACUGGCAGGCUAGAGUCUUGUAGAGGGGGGUAGAAUUCCAGGUGUAGCAGUGAAAUGCGUAGAGAUCUGGAGGAAUACCGGUGGCGAAGGCGGCCCCCUGGACAAAGACUGACGCUCAGGUGCGAAAGCGUGGGGAGCAAACAGGAGUAGAAACCCGGGUAGUCCCA